rnacentral:lncRNA from 1 species
CAGACCAGGUAAAGCAAAGGUUGCUAAGAAAGACCCAACAAAGGACAAAGGCCAGUGUUUUUCACUAUGGCAAAGAUGGGCACUGUAAGAGGAACUGCAAAGAGUACCUUGCAGAGAGGGCGAAAUAGAAGCUUGGAGAAGCUUCAGGUACAUUCAUGAUCAAUCUCUAAUUGUCAGAUUUUUGUGAUAGUGCAUUGGUAUUAGAUACCAGUAUUGCUUAUCACAUCUACAAUUUAUUGUAAAUUCUAGCACAGCCGAGGGGAGACUGGUGAGAGGAAUAUUGCAUAAAUGUUUGUUCAUACUAGAC